rnacentral:lncRNA from 1 species
AAAUGCAAACCCUAGCUACUGUAAACCCUAUUUAAUCCCCUAUAACUCUCAUACAUUCAGCAUCAAAAGUAUUCAAUCUCGAUUGGUUUAUUUCGGCGAUCAACACACACUAAAAUCAAUGCCUAUGCCUCUUCAAGGUAAGAUCGAGAUGAUUCUGCUAAUCAAUUAGAUUCUAUGUCGUUAAUUUCAAACAUGUUUUCUCAAAUUCUAUCGAUCUGUUUAUCUAUUUUGGAACAUACAAAUUUGCAUUUGUUUUACCCUCUCUUUGGGAUUAAAAUCGAGAUUAUUCAAGGAGAUAUAACUGAUGCAUAUAGCUAAUUACAGGAUGGCUUACCAACGCAUUGCAUUUCAUUGGAUUGCUUUAGUGUCAAAUGGUCCUUCCUAUAUUCUUUCUCAUUUCAUAAAACUUUUCCUUGUUCUUGACAUUUUUGUUUAUUGGAUUUGGAAACUUUGAAUUGGCAAAUGAUGUAAUUUCAGUUUUAUGCUUAACACACUGAUUAACCCAUGGUGACUAAAAACUCCGCUUAUUAUCUGAUGCCAAAAUCUUUUCGUAAUUCACUUCUAAAGUAAAUUAAUUUCACGAUUGUAUCACGGUUUUUAGCUGUUUUUGUUGGAUUUGGAAGGCAAAUGAUGCGACACAUCAAUCUUAUACUACACACUGAAUAUUUUCAUGUAGAAAACAACUCUCAAUUAUCUUCUGAUGCUUUCCAUGUUUAUAAACAAAUGAUUUUGGUUUUGAAAAAGUACUAAUUUUUUUGUAAUUUUAUCAUUCAAUUUACAUUGAAUGAAUAAUUUCGAUGAUGUGAUUCAGCAGACGGGCGGUCUGAAAUGAUGCCAUGUUGAUUGUCUGCAUAAUAUCCUCAACGAGGAUUCGAAUUCUGAGAUUUUUAAUGUAAGUCGAUUGUAGACUUUAUUUGAUUCUUUUUUCGUGUUCAAUUUUAAUGAUUUUUAAAUUUUCAUGAGCUGCUGUGAUGAAUAUGCAAUUUUUAUAUGUCUGGACUUAUGAGACACUGUCUUUGAAAUGAUGCGCAUACUUUCUGAGCUUCAAAUGAUCAAUUUAAUAACAAAAUCGUAUUUUUAUAAAAUUGAAAGUAAUUAAAUCUUGAUUUGGAUGUUUAAAUGAAGGGCUGCUGUGAUUAUAAACAAAAAGAUUUAAUAUCUGAAUGCUAUUUCGAUGGCAUGAUAGACUCUUUUACACCCAUAGAAUAUGAGCACCCAUAUCGUAAACUUGUUAUAUAUUACUACUAUAUUAAUUUUUUACAAUUUGGCCACUUUUUAUGUCACUUGUUCAAUUUCAAAACAUUUAAAUAACUUUGGAUGGGAUUUGUAAAUGUUGCAGUGAUUAUAAAAAAUUCCUCGUUCUGAAUGCCAUAUCUAUGGCAUGACAGACAAAUUUACAAUAGAAUAUGAGCAACGUCUUUUGAAUGAGUUUUAAUUUUUAAUCAUUUAUAUUUAUAUGUAAGAUAGUUGUGUUGUUUAAUUAGAGAUUUUUAAAGGAAAUGAUAAAUAAGAAAGGACAGUAGUUUUAUACAGUAUUACUGCCCUUGUUGUCAAUUCCAAAAGCCUAUUGUAAUAAGGUGGUGUUUAAAGCUCUUGUUUUCAGUUUUUACAAUUCAGAGUUACGCACACCUCCAAAUUUUAAAUUUUAAAAACUACAGCUCCCCAAAUAGCAAAAAUUCUUUGAAGACAACAGAACCUCAAAUAGCAAUUGACUUCCUACAAAUCUUAGCUCUGGAUUUAACAUAGCAAAGUGAAUUAAACAAUUCUUGUUUGAUAGAGAUAGAGAUUAAUCUUCUUUUAAAGUUAAGACUGGUUUUAUUUAAGACUGGUUGUGAGUCACUAAAGAAUUGUGUAUGCUUAAAUCUUCGACUAAGAACCCAAAUAGAAACUGAUUUAAAGAACAAUUGGGAAAUCCAUAAUUCAAGAAAGAGCAAGAAGGAAAUUGGUAAUUCAAGAACUCCUUUGAACCAUAUGAUUUCAUGCCAUUACACUGAAAACAUAUGAUUUCAAGAACAAAAACAAUGAAUUCGCAAACAAAAAAUCAUGAAAGCCACAAAUCAAAACUAGAACAUAUGAAAUUGAGGUCAUAUAUCCAAAACAAAACAUUCAAACCCGUGAAUAUCAAUAUGAAAAGAAGUUAUACAUCUUUUAAGGUAAUAUCGCCAGCAAUCCUUUGAUAAGCAGACCUGAGGGAGGAAGAAGAUGAACUUAUUGAAGAUGAAGAAAACUCAAACCUAGAAAAUGAAGAUGAAUGAUUUCAAACUGUCAUUGUAAUUCUUUGGAACACCGCCGGAUGUUGUUUCCCCUCCCCCAAUUUAACUUGUAUUUUCCUUGGCAUCUUGAAUUGACGGUCUCUCUCUCCAUGAUUGCUCCAUCACAAUGAAUUUCUUUAUGGUGAUGGAAUGGAAGUGAAUUGUGUUUUACCCGGUUUAAGAGUAUUUUGUUGUAGCAUCAACAAAUGACACUCCAUUUAGACAUUGAUUAUGUUGCGAGUCUGAUGACUAGUCCUUAACUUAGGAAUGUGAAUUAAUUGAAGAUAUGAACGCAGUAGAUGGUGUUUAUGGUGAUAGAAUGAAAGUGAAUAGAGUAAGGUGAUGUAAUUGGGUUGUGUAAUUGGGUUGUGUUAUUGGAACGCCUAAGAACUGCCCCUCUUUUACUGUUAUUGGAUGUCAUACGCUAUUGAGUUGUGUCCCGUUACGACUGCCAUAUUUGUUUAACGUUGUUUUUUCUUCUUUCACUAAAAACGCCGGUGUGGUUGUUGCUCACACCGACCAGCCUAACCCUGUAGGUAACAUAAAAUUUUUAUAGGAAACAUCAACAAAUGACACUCCAUGUAGGCAUUGAUUAGGCUAAGAGUGUGAUGGCUAGUCCUUUUCUUAAAAGGAAUGAAUAAAUCGAAGAUAAGAAAAGAGUACAUGGUGUGUAUGGUGAUAGAAAGGAAGUGAAUAAAGUAAUUGCGUUGGACUAUUGUUUUUUUACCCUGUUUAAGAGUCUUUUGUAAGUAACAUCAGCAAAAUUUUUGUAGGUAACAUAAACUAAUUAAUAUAUACAGGUUUCCUUGGGCUGGACGGAGAUUGGCCCUCGAGUGCAAAGGCAGAAGGGAGCUUGACUGCAAGACCCACCCGUCGAGCAGGGACGAAAGUCGGUCUUAGUGAUUCCUAUGGUGCCGAGUGGAAGGGUCGUCGCUCAACGGAUAAAAAUUAAUCUAGGGAUAACAGACUGAUAUUCCCCAAGAGCUCACAUCGACGGGAAUGUUUGGCACCUCGAUGUCUCCCGGAACUUAUUUGAAGUGGCUCCCUUCCAUGCCUCAUUUCAUAGGGAACCCCAAAGUGGCUCUAUUUCAUUAUAUUUCAUCCAUAUCCCAAUUUUAUUCAUUUAAUAUCCUUUUAGUGUCAUUAACAUAUAAUAGAUGUCAUUUCUAGUUUAUAUGAUUAUCAAUCAAGUAAAAAGUUAUUCUAUGUACAAAUUCUUACAUCUCUUACUACUGGUGGGGUGACAACUAGUUUUGGUAUGUUGGGGGAUAUCAUCAUUGCCGAACCCAAUGCCUACAUUGCCUUUGCGGGUAAAAGAGUAACUGAACAAACAUUGAAUAAAAUAGUACCCGAGGGUUCACAAGCGGCCGAGUAUUUAUUCCAGAAAGGCUUAUUGAAUAAUUUUUAUGUCUAUUACAUCUGCACCCCCUGGGAGCGAUAAGCCUUUUGGACCUUAUUGACCAAAGAGAUACGACUUUGCACUAUAGUUAGUUCAGCACCAAUCAAGAAUGCCCAAAGAAUUCAAGAAUUCUUGUUAUAGAUUUGUUCCAACCCUCAAUCCUAAAAAAUCGCAAUGAAAAGCGUCCAUUGUCUAAUGGAUAGGACAUAGGUCUUCUAAACAUUUGGUAUAGGUUCCGAAAGACUAGAGUGGCUGAAGCGGAUUAAUAUGGAAUUAUUACCACACACUUAUUUUGAAUUUCGUUUGAUUAGGGCAAAGUUCCUUAAAAACCGCUGCCUUUUUUAAAAUAUCAUAAACAGUUCCUGUAGGCUAAGCGCCAUUUUCAAAGAAAUAGAGAAUAUCGGGAACAUUUAAAUAAGGGUCUGUUUGAUUUGGGUCUGACCGGGUCUGGUCAGACAAAAAUGGAUGACUCAGUCAGAUUAAUGUGGAUCAGUGUGUUUGAUAUGUGCAAUAAAAACAUGAGACUCGGUCAGCACCCUCUGACUCGGUCCUAUUUGUUUUCUUUACAAUUUUGCCCUUUGCAUUACAGACCCAUAACAUUCCGGCAUCACAAACCAGUCAUAUACAUGCCCUGUUCACGGACACAAGAACCAGGAAACCUACCACAAACACUGCAACCCUUGUUCAUUUGUUUAACCCCAACCAAAAAAUUGCGUCUUCGUGAGAGAGAAGGAGAAGGAAGCACACUUUUACCUAUUGAUUGAGUCUAAGAGGAGUGAAAAUUGUGAUUGAUCGAAUAAAACAAGGAUAAGAAGAGGGUGUGGGUAUUUUGGUAAUAAUGUUGGAUUCCACCAUUGUCAUCCUUGGAUGAAGCUUCAAACAUUUGUUCAUUGUGGUUGCCUGGUUGUUCUUCCCACUGGAAGGAAUGCUCCAUCAUCUCGUCCACCGGAUCCCAAGUCCACUCCGAGCCCUUCCGAUGUUGCCAUUGCACCUUCACUAGCUCCACCCUCUUGUUUCUCAGAUCCUUCGACUUCCGGUCGAGGAUCGCUACUGGCCGCUCAAUAUAAUUCAUGAUGUCAUCGACUUGAAUAUCCUCUAAGGGUACCACUGCUGAGUCGUCCACCAGACACUUCUGCAACUGGGAGACGUGGAAGGUGUUGUGGAUCUGGCUGAGUUCGGCUGGCAGAUCUAGCCUAUACGCCACCUUGCCCACUCUGGCUAAGACCCUGAAUGGUCCAAUGUACCUGGGGCCCAAGUUGCCCCGUUUCCUGAAUCUGAUGACGCUCUUCCAUGGNUCUUCCAUGGCGACACCUUUAGGAGAACCAUAUCCCCGACCUGGAACUCCAAGUCCGAUCGGCGCUUAUCGGCAUAACUUUUCUGCCGACUCUGAGCAGUCUGAAGCCUGAUCCGGACUUGCUGAAUCCUCUUUGUCGUCUUGAACACUACAUCGGUGCUCCUCAUAACCCUCUAGCCAACCUCGCCCCAACAUAUCGGGGUCCUGCCCUUCUUCCCGUACAACAUCUCGAAGGGAAGACGAUCAAUACUCGCAUGAUAACUAUUGUUGUACGAGAAUUCAGCCAACGGAAUGUAAGUAUCCCAACUACCUCCGAAGUCUAAGACACACGCCCACAACAUAUCCUCCAAAGUAUGGAUGGUUCGCUCACUCUGACCAUCUGUCUGCGGGUGGAAGGCGGUGCUAAAAUGCAGACGAGUACCCAGCUCGUCAUGAAACUUCUUCCAAAACCUGGAAGUGAACCGAACAUCUCUGUCUGAAGUCACCGACACUGGCACCCCGUGCCGCGCAACCACCUUCUUGAUGUAGAUAUCAGCCAGCUUCUCGGCCGAGAUGCUCUCCUGAAUCGGAAUAAAAUGAGCGCUCUUAGUCAGUCGAUCGAUGACGAACCAAAUCUAAUCCACACCUCGCGCGGUCCUGGGAAGUUUUGUGAUAAAAUCCAUCGUAAUGUCCUCCCAUUUCCACAGCGGAAUAUCUAACAACUGCAUCUUGCCGUGUGUCCUCUGGUGCUCGGCCUUGACCUUCCUGCAGGUCAAGCACUGCUCCACGUACCAUGCUAUAUCCCGCUUCAUUCAGGGCCACCAAUAGUCCAGGCGAAGAUCCCUAUACAUCUUCGUGGCCCCAGGAUGAAUGGAGAAUCGAGAUUUGUGCGCCUCUUCCAUCAGAACCUGGCGCACACCCCCGUGGUAUGGCACCUACACCCUACGGUGUAGUGUUAGUAAUUGCCGGUUGUCNNNNNNNNNNNNNNNNNNNNNNNNNNNNNNNNNNNNNNNNNNNNNNNNNNNNNNNNNNNNNNNNNNNNNNNNNNNNNNNNNNNUGAUCGGCGCUGCCUUGCGGCUAAGCACGUCGGCCACCACAUUGGCCUUUCCCGGGUGGUAGAGGAUCUCACAGUCAUAAUCUUUUACCACAUCAAGCCACCGACGCUGCCUCAUAUUCAGAUUUGGUUGGUCCAUGAAAUACCUCAGGCUCUUGUGGUCCGUGUAAAUCGUACAACGGACCCCAUAGAGGUAAUGACGCCAAAACUUGAGGGCGAACACAACAACCCCAACUCCAAAUCAUGCGUCGGGUAGUUCGCCUCGUGAGGCUUCAGCUGCCUCGAAUCUAGGAGUGUUCAUUUGGAUGGAUCGGUUUAAUCCGAUCCGAUCAAGUGAAUCCAAAUUAAUUUCGGUUUUCAAAACGUAGAUCCAAAUAGUCCAAACUAAAUUCAAAUCCGAUCCGAUCCAACCAAAGUAUAAUUCGGUUGGAUCGGUUUUUUACAUUUCGGUUUUCAAGAAUCAAGACAUUUCAAAAAAUAUAUAACUUUAGUAUUAACUUACUCUAUAAUAUAAACUAAAAAAUAUUGUUUAAUUAGUUGUGAACUAAAACUUAUAAAUAACUAUCAAGAAAAAUAUAUUAUAGUUACUACUUUAUAGACAAAUUUUUUUAAUAAGAAGUACAUAUUAAAGUAUUAUAAUUGAUGAAAAAUUUUAAUGUAUUAAAAGAAUAAUUUAGUAAAUUUAUAAUUUAUUAAAGAUAUAUAUUAAAAAGAACAAAAUAAUAAAUUGUAAUUCAGUUUUUUUGGACUAUUCGGUUUUUAUUUUAUAAACCAAAACCAAUCCAAAAUAAUAAUUCGGUUUUGCUAAAAACCAAUCCAAAAAUCCGAAUAUCCGAACCAAAUUGUCCAAUUGGACAAUUCGGUUUUAUCCAAAUAGUGAACAGUCCUACUCGAAACAUAAGAAAUGACAUGCCCUCUCUACAUCAAUACUGCGCCCAAACCCAAGAUGGACACAUCACAGUACACGACGAAAUCUUCCAUGCCCUCUGGCAGGGUUAAGAUUGGCGUCUCGCACAAUCUCUGCCUCAAUGUUUCGAAUGCAGCCUGCUGCUCAGGCCCCCAACGAAAGACCAUGACUUUCCUCGUUAGCCUGUUCAGGGGUACGACUAUCCUGGAGAUAUCCUGAAUGAAUCUCCGAUAGUAGCCGGCUAAUCCUAGGAAACUCUGAAUCUCAGAUGGAGACCUCGGAACCUCCCAUCUCAUCACGACCUCCACUUUGGCCGGAUCUACCGAAAUCCCGUUCUGGUUGACAAGGUGCCCAAGAAACUACACCUCGCGUAACCAGAACUCACACUUGGAGAACUUAACAUACAAGUUCUCCCUUCUCAAGGUCUCCAGAACCUCUCGUAGAUGCUCCUCCUGUGUCUUGGAAUAGACCAAGAUGUCAUCGAUGAAAACUAUCACAGACUGAUCUAGCAUCGGCCUGCACACAUGGUUCAUGAGAUCCAUAAACGCGGCAGGAGCAUUGGUGAUCCUGAAAGGCAUCACCACAAACUCAUAGUGACCAUAACGGGUCCGAAAGGCAGUCUUCUACACAUCCUCCUCUUUGACCCUCAUUUGGUGAUACCCUUAACGCAAAUCAAUCUUGGAGAACCAAGAUGCUCCCUGUAGCUGGUCAAAGAGGUCAUUGAUCCUCGGGAGUGGGUAGUAGUUCUUCACCGUCACCUUAUGCAGCUCCCGAUAAUCUAUGCACAUCCGUUGCGACUCGUCCUUCUUCUUCACAAAUAAAAUCGGGGCUCCCUAGGGUGAACUGCUCGGUCUAAUGAAUCCUUUGUCUAACAGCUCCUGCUGCUGUGUAGACAACUCCUGCAUCUCAGGAGGAGCCAACCGAUACGGUGCCUUGGCUAUCGGACCCGCACCAGGGACUAGGUCGAUCCUGAACUACACCUGUCGCUCCGGAGGUAUCCCAGACAACUCCUCGUGGAAUACGUCCACAAAUUCCCGCACUACGGGCAUGUCUCCCACCGUCGCCCUACCCGCCUCCUGGGUAUCCAUAACGUAGGCGACAUAACCUGCACAACCCUGCUAGAGGUAGCGCCCCGCCCUCGCCGCCGAACAUAGAGAUGGUCCUCGAUGUGGCCUUUCGCCCUGAACCACCAUCUCUCCCCCACUAGGGGUCCUAAUCCGUACUGAUUGUUGCGUGUAGUCGAUCACUGCCUCAUUGGAGCUCAGCCAAUCCAUACCAAUAAUAACCUUGUUCCCCCGCAAAGGUAUGGGAACCAAGUCUACCAGGUAACGUUCAGCCUCAAAACACAAUCUCGGUAGACCUCUGACGCUCGUACCGACCGGUCGUCCGCAAUCUCGACCUCUAGAGGGCAAUCCAACAUGCCCGAAGACUCCGGAAACUUCUUGUUAAGCUCAAGAGAGACAAAUGAUUGAGUGGCACCCGAAUCAAACAACACCUGAACUAGGAUACCAUUCACAUGGAACGAUCCUAAGCAAGGCACAUAAUAUAUCAAAAUCACAACGAUAUAACAUGAAAGCAUAAAAUAAGAAUCAUACCCGUCACCACAUUGGGUGCAGCGCAUGCCUCCUCGGCUGUCAUCAGAUACGCUCGGCUCCGAACCACUGGAGCCUCUAACUUGGCCUUCCCGCCAUCCACAACCUGUGUUGUCGCUGGAGUCGGCGCCACUGCAGGCGCCGCUGCUGCUGUUGUCAAUAUAGGGCAAUUGGCCUUUUUAUGGCCCUUCUGAUUGCUGAAAGCAAANAAUAUAGGGCAAUUGGCCUUUUUAUGGCCCUUCUGAUUGCAAUGAAAGCAAAUAAGGUCAGAUAUCUGAAUCGCAGGAGUCAGGGCAGUAUAAUCUCUGCCAAAAUGCCCAACCUUGCCACACUUAUAGCAGCCUGAACCUGGCCCAGUGCGACAAGCUCCCUCGUGUGACUGACCGCAUUUCCCACAACGAUCCUGCCCUGACUGGCCUUUCGGCCUACCAUCGGAUCCCCUGGGCUUCUUCCCCGAAGCCCCCAUCGUCAGCCCCUCCGUUGCCUUCCUCUUCCGGAUGUGCUCCAGAUAAAUUUUCCUCUCCCUAGCCCUGGUAAUCAUGGAAUCCAGGGUAGGUCAAGCUGAGAAACUCACAUGGUCUCGGAUGUCAGAUCGUAGCAUGUCAUGGUAGCGGGUCCUCUUCAUGUCCUCAUCACCCGCAAACUGGGGCACCAACAAUGCCCUCUCCCGAAACUUGGUGGUGAUCUCCGCCACAGUCUCUGUAUUCUGUCUCAUGUCCAAGAACUCCCUGGCCAACUGUUGAAUCUCUACAGCUAGCGCAAACUCUGCCCUGAAUCUGGUCACAAAGUCUGACCAGGUCAUAGCCUGAAUAGUCGAGGCUCCCAGAGAGUCGCCAACCGACUCCCACCAAUCUCUGGCCCUGUCUCUCAAACACCCAACAACGAAACGGACCUUCGACCCUUCUAGGCAGAAGCUCGUCAGCUGCGCAGACUCGAUGUCUGCGAUCCAUCUCCUAGCAGCAAUGGGGUCUUUCAUCCCAUGGAAAUCAGACGCACCACUCUCUCUGAAGUCCUUAAAGGACAGUGUGCGUGAUCCUGACUGGCUGACCGCCAUGUCACUCCUGAAUGCCCUGAGGCGAUCCUCCAUCAGCUCAAUGAUCCCUUCCUUGAUCGACCCGAAGAUAAAUGGCGUCGCAUCAAGGAUACCCCUCAUGAUCUCGGACGCGAUGAACUCACGUAACCCAUCAUCCACAUGCCCGGAUCUUGCGCCCGAGCCCGGUCCUGACCCAGAUGCUAAACCUCCUGCUCCAUGUCGCGUGAUCACCAUUCUAAAAAUAAACAUACGAAUGUCAGGGUAACAUAUACUUUUAGAGGUUCCACACACAUUCCAAUAUUCCAGGUUCCGUCUAGGCCCUCCUUGAUUCGAGUAUAGGUCCUCUGCUUUCAGUAGUACGGGCACAUACUACCUUCCACAUCUACCCGUACUUUCCUCAAGGAUUGCUUCGACUUCACCAAGCCCCUUUUACCGUUACCCGUUCCACUAACCUCAUCCUAGGCUUCCCUAGGGCACUCUCCGACCUACCCUCCGCCAUCAGCUGCACUAGGAGUCCCCACCACCUCCUCCUAACUAACUUGCGGAUACUGUUACAUAUCCGUUCCUUAGCUAGUUGAAGAUGGCCAUAACCCCCACAGCACAAAGCAAGCAGCAUUCGUGCAUUGGGUAACCAAACCAGGCAUAAGCUACACAGGCCAUCCUACUGCUGACUAAGCAGUCCUAGCAUACAUCCCAUACAAUAAGCAUAUAAGGCAUCCUCCCUAGACCCUUAGCCCUAACUAGCAUGCAUUUCACAUAAUCAUAUGUCAGGCAUACAAGGCAUCCUCCUAGAUCCUUAGUCCUAUUCUAGCAUGCAGUUUUCUAAAUCAAAACCAAAUAACAUAACAUAGCAAGUAUGGGUAUCUUGGGGAAAACUUACUUGAGCCCGACCGGUCGCAUGCAUCACACACGUCGUCUUUCUUAAAAUCCUUCCCUUUUAGAUUUUAGAAAACCAUUUUUCUUGAAAAAAAUCUUUUAGUCCCUCGGUUUUGAGUCCAGACACCCCCGAGGGUGUGUCCGAAUCCCUCAAACCAGGGCUCUGAUACCAACUUGUAACAUCCCAAAAUUCAAGCCCGAAAAUUUCAUUUUUGGAUUAAUAAUUUUUAAAACAUUUUACCAUAACAUUGUCAGUAAGCAACACAUUACAAAAUCAUAAUGUUGUGUCCCAAACCAUGUCAUCAGAAACAAUGAAAAUCAGAGUACAAUCCCAGAAAGUCCGAUGCGGAAUCAUGUGUGUGUGCGUGAUGCGAUGCUACGCCGCCGGCUCCUUCUCCUUAGACGAAGAGGUACCUGAAACCAAAACUGAAACCGUAAACACAAAGCUUAGUGAGUUCCCUCAUCAUACCACAUACCAUACAAUAUCGUCUUUAUCUUUCAACCGGUAACUUCCAUCGGUAUCUUUCAACCGGUAAUCAUUAUCAUCGAUAUCUUUCAACCGGUAAUCUUCAUCGGUAUCUUUCAACCGAUAACCAUCACCAUCGGUAUCUUUCAACCAGUAACUGUCAUCACUAUCUUCCAACCGGUAACUAGGGACUAUUCCACCCCUACCACUAGCAUACAUCAACAAGAUAUAAAUAUACAGUCAGGCAUAUCCAGGUACUGACCUACCCUUCGGUCCUAAGGAACGCUAUCAGGGAAACUAAUCCCUACUAUACACAUAACAUGUCAUACAGAUAAAUCUCAUUACUAAAGCAAAUAACCAGACUCAGAUAAUUAUCACAAAGACAAUCAUCUUCUAAAUUCUCCUCUUUAGUGGGCCGGCAUUGUGGCCUUAGACCCACCCAUACUGGAAGGUAACUCACCUUGUACGAGUAGCUGCUGAUAUUCUGCACGGGAAACCUCUGUCUGCUGCUGCUCCAGAAAUCCUCUGGCUACAAUCCCCACAAAACACUCAGUCAGAAACUGAUACCUACUCUUAGGGUAAGAUGACUAUUUUACCCCUAACCAAGUCCAAGUCAAAGUCAACCUCCAUUUGAACCGACUCGCCAAGUUGGGCCGUCAACUCGUCGAGUCCCUACCCUUUACUUGUCCUUAUCCAUGACUCUACUCGUCGAGUUUGGCAACGACUCGACGGGUUCCCUUUCUUUACGAACAUCAAUGAACCUUCAUCUGACUUGCCGACUUGUAUGAACAAGUCGUCGAGUUCACCUUCAUCUGAUGAACAAGUCCUGACCUUUACUCGCCGAUUUGUAUGAACAACUCGUCGGGUUCAUCUUCAAACAUAAGAAGAUUGCCUUGGACUCGCUGAGUCUGUUCUAGCACUCGUCGAGUCCUAUGAACUCCAGGUCUCCCAACACGUCUAAACAGUUAUGGGACUCCCUUUUCUAACAACUGGCCAUCACAGAAAGGUUUAAGAUGGCUGAAAGCGCAUCGACUCGCCGAGUCCAACCUUGACCAUUUCUCUACAGUCGAUCUAAAUGGGAUUUAACACACCAAAACUAUAGAUCUGGCCUCCUAAUGUCCAUUUUAUACAUAAAGUUCCAAACUUGAUGCACAUGCAUGGGGUUUUAGCUCAAAAGUCCAUAGAAAGUGCUCUACAAAGUGCAUGGGGCUCUCAUGGCCAUAAAGUUGGCACCUUUAUGCCAUGAGACCCCUCCAAUGACUCAGAUCUGGAAGUAGAACCCCAUGAACCACCUUACAAAUCCAAAAAUGGCUUAAGAAGCCCUAAAUGCAUCAUGAAUCUAAGCCCUAAAGAUGAACAACCAAAAAGGAAGACCAAAACAGGGGCAUUUACCUUGCUCAAGCUGAAAAUGAAGUAAGAUCUCUGAAUCAACAAGCCGCAACUCGAAUUUCUCAGCUUCUUCCUUCCUUCCAAGCUUCACAAACCAACCAAGAGAACCAAAAUGGCCUUAACACAUACACACACACACAAACGGAUAGGUUUUGGAUAUUCAGUUCUAAGGGAGUGUUAGGGAUAAGGGAGGCUGAGUUAAGGUGUUUAUAUAGAUGCAAACCCUUAGAUUUAGGGUUUUACUCGCACUACACCUACUCGUUGAGUCUGUCUCCCGACUCAUCAAGUAGCUCACUUAAGAUGCCUGCGGAUCUCGACUCUACUCGAUGAGUGGGUCCUCUGACUCGUCGAGUCCUAUAGAAAAUCAUAAAAAUGCUUAAAUUAAUUAGUACCAGGAAUCGGGUGCUACAAAUCUCCCCCGCUUAUUUUAGACUUCGUCCUCGAAGUCUGUUGCUCGAUCCUGGAAAAGCUCUGGGUAAUGCUCCAUCAUCUCAUCCACUGGCUCCCAAGUCCACUUCGAGCCCUUCCGAUGUUGCCAUUGCACCUUCACUAGCUCCACCCUCUUAUUUCUCAGAUCCUUCGUCUUCCGGUCGAGGAUCGCUACUGGCCGCUCAAUAUAAUUCAGGCUGUCAUCGACCUGAAUAUCCUCUAAGGGUACCACUACUGAGUCGUCCACCAAACACUUUUGCAGCUGGGAGACGUGGAAGGUGCUAUGGAUCUGGUUGAGUUCGGCUGGCAGAUCCAGCCUAUACGCCACCUUGCCCACUCUGGCUAAGACCCUGAAUGGUCUAAUUUACCUGGGGCCCAACUUGCCUAGUUUCCUAAAUCUGAUGACGUUCUUCCAUGGCGACAUUUUCAGGAGAACCAUAUCCCCGACAUAGAACUCCAGGUCCGAUCGGCACUUAUCGGCAUAACUUUUCUGCCGACUCUGAGCAGUCUGAAGCCUGAUCCGGACUUGCUGAAUCCUCUCUGUCGUCUUGAGCACUACAUCGGUGCUCCCUAUAACCCUCUAGCCAACCUCGCCCCAACAUAUCGGGGUCCUGCCCUUCCUCCCGUACAACCUCUCGAAGGGAGGACGAUUGUAACAACCCGAAAUUUCGUAUCAUUGCUUGUACCCCCUUUUCGUAAUCCAUUUCGAUCAACCAACCGCCGUUUUCAAAUUCGUUUCCGAUUUAUCCAUUUAAUUAAGUCAUUAAAUUGAAAUUAUCUAAAAUGACUUAAUGGGUGUCCUAGUACAUUUAGAACUCAUUAUUAACACCCCAUAUUAGUAAUCGGAACAUUUAUAGAUUCAACCAUACCAAGUUACGGAAACUUAAUCAGGUGCGACCAAAAGCCCCGUCUAACGCCGGUAUCGGGUAGAAUUCCACCAUGUACCGAACUUAGACACUAUUUAAAGUGAUCCAAGCUUCCAUUUGAAGCUUUUGCUUCAUCUCACAACUCUCUCUCUCUAACCUCUCUCCUCAACCAAGUUUAAGGGUCCAAAACCUCAAAUUUAAGGCUUCUAAUCACCAUGGUAUCUUCCCUAACUUGUUAUACAACCCCUCUAGCCUUCAAAUUCGAGUUUAAACCAUGGAUUAGGACCAUUAUCAAGAGUUUAAAGCCCUAGAAUAGUCCUAGGCCGUAAACUCAUAUAAAUGGGGGUUUUUAAGCAACAAAACCCUUCCAAACCACAAUUAGAUUUUAGAUAUGGCUAGAUGACUUAAUGGAAUGGACUUGGAACACCCUAAAAAUGAGAUUUGAGGAUUAACAUUGAGUUUACUGCCCAAGAACUUGCUUGGGCCGUAAACACAUCAUACAUGGGGAGUAAACUCAUUUUCUAGUGUUAAAAAGCCAUGUAAACCCACAAAUAGCCUUGGAAUAAAUCCUAGAACCAACCAAAAUUAGUUUGGGGACCUUAAACAUGAUUAAAUCCUCCCAUUUAGGAGUUUACGGCCAUAGCUUCCUAAGAAAUAGUUUCAGGGCCGUAAACUCAUAAUAUCAUGUUAAAUGGCGCCCUAAAUUCAUACCAAGGCUUGUAAAAAUUGUUGGAAUCACAUGUGAUUAAUUUAAGGCCAUUAAAUCAUCAAUCUAAGGGGGGUAUAGGAGUUUACGGCCGUAAACUCCAUGUUUAGGUCUGUAAACUCCCUUAAAUGGUGUUAUUGGUGAUUUAAUUCCAUCCCAAGCCUUAGAUAAAUUCAUCCCAAUCACCCCUCAAGUGUUAUUGACCAUUAAGCACCAUAAACCUUGCCAACAUGAGUUCACGGCCGUGAAAUCAUGUGUGAGUAGUGUAUAAGGACGUAAUCUCCCUAAGGAGUUUACUCUUGAAGAGUAAACUCAAUUCCCAAGUCCCACGCAUCAAUACACGUCCGUAUAUGUCACCCGGGUCACUCCAAACAUUCGUUUUGAAGUGUUUUCGCUCAUUCGAGUGUAAUAUCAUAUCUAAUUAGUAAUUUAAAAUCUAAUUAGAUAUAUUUGUAUACCAUUUCAUAUUACAUAGGAACUUCGCGUGUUAUCAAGCCUCGAAUCGACACUUAGCGUCCGAACUGACACGUUUUCUCGUCUGGUGAGUUCAUACCCGUACCCUUUUCAAUGGUUUUUAAAUGUUUUCAGGGGGGGGGGGUGGAAUACAAGCAAAAGUACAAGAAUAUCUUGUACUUAAAUUCAUUAUUUUACUUAAAUGGUUUCAUAAUUCCCACACUUUUAAGAAUUGAAAACCUACUAACAAACUGUUUUAACUUGCAGAGUUGUUUGUUUAAACGAUUUCAAUUCUUAUUAUAUACUGUUAUGUUUCACGAUUGAUUGUUCACACUUAUAUUGAUAGAGAUCAUAAAACCUUUGUAAUGUUUGUAAUAAAACACCUUAGGCUCAAGUGUAAAGGACAGACACCAUAGAAAACAUAAAAAAAUUGUAUGGUCCUUAAUAAAACACCGGCUCGAGUGNAGACACCAUUAGAAAACAUAAACAUUUGUAAUGUCCUUAACAAAACACCUAGGCUCGAGUGUAAGGGACAGGCACCAUUAGAACUUAGUCAGCCAUGAUACUACUCCCCCUAGGCACGAGAGUAAAGAGUAAUCUUAAAGAUUGGAGACACGUCCUCGGUGAACACUCCACAGAGAUACGCAAGUGGAGGAUCGCACCUGUAACCAGAAUCUCAUAGAUAGGGAGCGUGACUUGAGUGUAUAGAUCUAUACGGGACUGACAAUCCCGCACCUGGAUGCUAGCUACAGCCGAACCGAAAGGUUCAAGGGUGAUGAAAGUCAUAAAAAGGAUACUGGCCCCGACCCGAGUCAUAUCUGGUCUGAAGUAUGGUUAAGGAACUCGCAAUCAUGAUUAUGAACACUUCACACUUAAUUAUUAGUUUUAUGUACGUAAUAAAACUAAUGUACAUUUAAGGAUAAUCAAACUUUCAGGAGAAUUCACACACACUUAUUCAGGAAAAUAUGGGAUUUUCCUGGGGAUAGUACUGAACAUAAUCAGAAUUGGUAACUGUUCACACACACACAUGUAGGAAAAUAUAGGAUUUUUCCUGGAUAACAGUAAUACGUAACCAGAAACGUGUAACAAUUUAGAUAUCAAACUUUACAAUUCACAAGAACAAUUAUGUUUUCAGUGUACAUCUUUUACUUUACAUUUUGGAUUUGGUAACCAACUUUUAAGAAAAUAUGGGAUUUUCUUGGAUAACCACUUUUUCAGGAAACCAAAGGAACUCGUAUAUUUUCAGAAAAACUAACCGCUUAUGAACUCACCAGCUUUAUGCUGAUUUUCAAACCACUUGUAUUCUCAGGUCCGCAUUAGACAUGUACCCGAUAAUUUCUUUUUGCGAAGACGGAGUGCGCAGAAGACUCGUCUCAUUUUGUUCAUAUAUACUAUGUAUCACAUGUAUAAAUUUACUUUUGAAACAAAUGUAAACUUUUCUAUAUGUAAUGUAAUGGUUGUUUUACUUUACUUACUAUGUUCAUUGGAUUUGAUACUCAACGUGGAGUCAACCCCGAAAAUGUUUCUGUAACGCCCGUGUUUCUAGGCUAGGCAUUAAUAUUGACAUAAUGGUCUAGGUUAACCUUUGUAACUCAUUUAGAAGAAAUGAAAAGGAAUUAUGUGAAUUUUAUGUGAAUUAUGAGUUUUAUGCUUAAUUAUUAGGGUUUAAUUAAUUAAAAAUAAAAAUAAGCGUCAAAAUUAAAGUAUGAUAUAAGCCCGAUAUCUUUACAUAAAGUUGUAGUGAUCGAAAUAAGGAUUUCAGGGAUAUAAAUAAUGCCGAAAUCCGAGUUAUAACGAAGAAUUUAUGACCUGUCGAAGUUUCGCAACAAAACUGGCACGGUGCCGAGUGUCGUAAAAAAUGAGCUUUUGAUAAACUACUUUUUAGCCUUAUUAAUCUAAACGAAAGUCGUAGUAUUCGUUAAAACGAGAACUUAGAUAAAAAGAACGCCCAAAUCUAAGUUCGUAUGAGGAAGUUAUGAUUUUUCGAAGUUUCAGCUUAGCAGUAGACAACUAAAAACUCGAAUUUUAGAUCGAGCGAUUUUUAGCCGACACAACCUAAACGAGAAUUGAAGGUCUCGUCAUUAGGAGCACAACAGUAAAAAGUCUGACGAAAACGGACGUCGGAUGAAGAAGUUAUGAAUUUUUAACGGAUUUCCUGUCCCGGUCUGUUAAAAAUAAUAAUAUAAAAUUUAAAGUUAAAAUUAGCCGUCGAAGUCUAAACUGAAGAUGUAGAUCGUAAUUUUAGCUACGUGUGCAUAUAAAGAACAUCAAAAACGGAGCUCGUAUGCGAAAGUUAUGGAUUAUAGAAGUUUUGGCGCUAAAAUCGAGAAAUUUCGCAUAGUCACACUUUGCCACGUCACCCUCGCUUAGAAUGUGACACGUGUCCUGCUGAGUCACCAGACUACUGAGUCACCGAAACUGCUGAGUCAUGCGAAGCCACGUGUCCUCUUUUGAUUCGACCGAGGAAGAGGCCCAAUCCGAAGCAGCCAGCUCCCCAGCCGAAGCUUCGCCCUGUUGCCGCGUGUUCCGAGCCUCGCAUAACCUAGCUCCGAGCCUCGCGCGUGUAAGACGACUCCACGGUCCAAUCAGCGAGUGCCACCGAGACCCUCGCACCUGCUGACCACCUGCGCAUCGGACACAUGCCUCGGACCAAUCACAGACUGCCAGCGAGUCUUCGCACGCACAGCCCUCGUGCGAGCCUUCGCCUGCGAGCCCUCGGAUCUGCGACGUGUACUUCCUUCUCAGCCGUCCGAUCAGAAGCCCUUCCCUAUAAAUAGAAGGGUGCGAGACCUCUCGGGGGUAUUUUGAAAACUUGUCAUUUUUAGCCCCUUUCUCCAUAUUUCUUUCAUAUUAUCACCCCUCGAAGCCCCAGUAUCGAUUAUAAGCCCCGGAAUACGCCACGAAGUGCUCGAGAAGCCCGGAAAAUUUAUCUUUUCGGUUUCGAAACCCGACUUUUGCGGAGCCCGGUUUCUCAAUAAAACUCCCGGUUUUAUUAGAAACGAUCGUUUUAGGAAACGAAUUGCUGCCCAAUUUUCACCAAAAUAUGUGAGUGUGUAGUUACUUUCAAUUUACACAUAGAUAUGAAGUAUUUACCUUGAAAUACGUGUUAUGUGUAAAUAUACUAAUUGUUUAAUUGAGGUGACUGUUGAAUUGAUGUUUUAUACAAGUUUUAAACUGUAUAUGUUUUUAUCUACAAAAUGUGUUGGGUAGAACAUGGGUAGAUAUAAUAGUUGCUGUGUGAUAAUAUGAAAUAAUGAGAGGCCUCGUUAUAGAUGAUAUUGAUGAUCUAGUCCUCUAGCGGAGUAUAGAUGACGACCACAGACUUUCUAGAUAGUCCAGUGGAACACUAGCAGGCUCGCAACCUGUAGGUGUUUAUUCGAACUUUGUGUUUAUUUGAACUGUGUGCUCACCAGGUGUACUCCACCCCCCACAUGGUUGCCUUUAGGACAUUUAUUGACGAGGAAUCCCCUUAGCAGUAGUGUCCAUCCCGAUGAUAAUCCUUAGGCUAGGUUCCUUGUGAUAGGUGUUUAGGGACACGAAGUGAGGACAACGGGAAUGGGUAAUCAGGGUUAUUGUUGAUUGGUGAACUUAGUAAGUAUAUUAUUAUUAUGGGUUGAAAACCCUAUAUGCUCACCAGGCUCCGAAGCCUGACCCACUCAGUUUUAUGAUUACAUGUAGUGGACCCCGAGCAUAGUCAGAGGACGACAAGAGAUUUUUGGAUUAUAGGCCAGUAGUUGUAAAUAACUGUUGAAAGGCUUAUAAUGUCUUGUUUAUGCUUUUGAUCUGUAUCGAAACAUGACAUCCCAAGGUUUUGAUAUAUAUGGAAAAUAUAUACCUUCUUAAUGACGGAUUUUGAUAAAAUUUUAUCAUAUGUUGUUUGGGGACCAAUUCCGCAACAUCUUUUAAAAAGAUUUCUCUGAUUUUAUUUUAAAAAGCAUAAAUUAAAUCGGUCUUUUCUGGCCGAGAAAUAUGGGGAUGUCACAGUUGGUAUCAGAGCAUUAGUUUAAGCGAACUAAGAAAUUGUAGAAUUUCUAGACUUGAACUUAGAAUGCUAAGUGAUGAUUGUGAGAUGAGUGUCUACCAUAUGUUAGACACGAGCACUAGUUUAUUUUAGGGAAGAUGCCUAAAAUGCCCUUAUGUGCUAAAUGCUAUGUGUUUGCCAUGUGUGCCAUUAUUUGUUCGGAUCUAUGGUCUGUUGCCGACCGGAUCUGGAAACCUUAUGUGUGUAGGAUUCUAAGUGUAUGAAAACGAGAUUAGAACUAACAUGUAAACGUUUCGGAGUGAUAAGGGAAUUGACAUGUCUAACAAGGAUAAAGACCUAAAUUUCGCCUUAUUCGGUAUAUAGAUUGUAAUGGCAAGAACUCGGAGUGGAGCUGGAAAUGCAAACAGAAACCAACAACCUCAACCUCCAGUGGUGGAACAGGUGCCUAUAGUAGGAGCUGCACCCGAACCCAUCACCAUGGCUGGAGUACGAACUAUGAUUCAGACCAUGUUGGCUGNAAGUCUAUUGAGGAAAUGAUCAAUGACACAACCGCCAACAAAGUUGAAGUUGGCAAGAAGAGGAAAUUUGAGGGGUCUUCAAGGCCCAACAAGAGCAACAUAUCCUCAAAGUUUGGCAAAAGAAGAGAUAAAGGAAAAUGGUGCGGGAGGUGCAAAAAUAAACACUCUGGGAAUUGUGACGGGAAGGUGAAGUGCUUUAAAUGUGGAGAAAUAGGGCAUUAUGCCAAUAAGUGUACGAUUCCCAAGGAGGUGUGCUACGGAUGUAAAGAAGAAGGCCAUAUUUCUAAGAAUUGUCAGAAGAACAAUGAAGUAACAAGGCCAAGUGCACCAUCAAUGCCAAAGGAAUUUCAGGAUAUCCUUGAAGAAGCGAUUAAUAACACUAGGAAGUAGAAGUCAAGACUUGAUACCCGAAGAUCAAGUUACGAAGUAGUAAUGUGAAUAGUAACAAGUAGUUUAGCCUAUGAGAGGCAUAGUAUAGGGUAAACUUGAACCUUUGUGUAAUCGUUUCAAGGAAAUAAAAUAAACCCUGGUUUUGUCGUCUGAUGAAUAGAAUGGCUGGUGUAAUUUUUGAAGUUGUCCCAAUCAUCUGAAAUUUCCAUCACCAACCAAGUUGAAGUAGAGUUGAUCAUUGAAGAUACGCGUGAAAGAAGUCCUAGUAGAGUCUAGGAAAAUUUUAUGAUUAAUUGGACACAUUUGUAUGUGUUAAAUUGUUUUGUGAUUUUAGGACUUGGGGACUGCGAGACAGUACUUGGGACGAGUAUGAGUAGGUGUGAAUAGUAGUAGAGAUCUAUACUACUGGAAGCACAGGACUCGCACUUGGAUCAGGGAAAGUCACAAGGUUACCAAGAAGCUAUUAUUUGAUUCCGUCUUGUUCUAGUCUGUCGUUACCAUCGUUUCGGUAAUGACUAAGAAGAUGAUUGUUAUUCUGACCUUAGAGGUCAUAUCAAAUUGAGUCCGACUACGAUGAGUUUAUUAUGUUGUUCAGAGAACCAAGUUCGAUGUAACAUUUGACUUAAGCCAGAAGAUUGAAAUGAAAGAUGAUCAAAGCGAUCAAUAGAAGUAUCGCACUCAUUGUUAAAGAAGUUGGUAGUUAGAAAUGAUACAUGUUGAACGGUGACUGUAUCACAUUAGAACAUGAAGGAAGGUAUAAGUUGUUCUGAAAUUUGUCCCUAGGAGAUCUGAGUCUAAGUAGUGCAGUAUACAAUGAGAGAUCAUUAGAACAUGACCCAUCGGUCUGUUACAAUAAAUGAAGGAAAAUACUUAUUCCAAGAAGAAGGAGGAGUCCUCAAUAAGGAUUUAUUUUGUAACUCGAAGGUUACAAUUGAAAGUCCUAUGGAGAUCUGAAGCUUUUUAGGAUUAGCUGGAUAUUAUUACUGAAUUAUCCAAGGCUUUUCUUCGAUCGCGACUCCAUUGACAGCUUUGACCCACAAAGGAGCUGUCUAUACUUGGAAUGAGAAGCAUAGGAAGCUUUGAGAAGUCAAAGAAGAAGUUGUGUGAAGCACCAAUUCUUUCGUUACCCAAAGGAUUUGAUGACUUCACAAUUUAUAGUGAUGCCUCUGGUGUUGGGUUAGUAUGUGUUCUGACCCAAAUGGAUAAGGUGAUAGCGUAUGCAUCGAGACAAUUGAAAGAGCAUGAAAAGAAAUAUCCCACUCACAAUUUGGAGUUGGCAGCGGUAGUAUUCGCCCUAAAGAUAUGUUGGCAGCGGUAGUAUUCGCCCUAAAGAUAUGGAGGCAUUAUCUUUAUGGCACCAAGUGUAAACUUUUCACUGAUCAUAAGAGUCUCCAAUAUCUCUUUAAUCAGAAGGAAUUGAACAUGAGGCAACGACGCUGGCUAGAGUUACUCAAGGACUACGACUGUGAGAUACUUUACCACCCUGGUAAAGCAAAUAUGGUUGCUGAUGCUCUCAGUCGGAAGGUAAACCUUGAAAAGAAAAGGCCAAGAGCAUUGAGAAUUGAAGUUGUCUCGAUAAUUGUGGAAAGUAUAAAGAAAGCUCAAGAGGAAGCUUUAGAGAAAAGUGACCGAAAGGAAGAACGUUUGGGCAAAACGUUAGUGUUCGGUACAAACAACCAAGGGUUGAAGGUAUUUCAAGAUAGAAUUUGGGUACCUAAGACGGGCGGAAUAAGAGAUCUUCUGAUGGAAGAAGCUCACAAGACCAUGUACUCAAUUCAUCCCGGCAGUACGAAAAUGUAUAGGGAUCUAAAACCCUAUUAUUGGUGGCCGACGAUGAAGCUCGAUGUUGCUAAGUAUGUGGCUGAGUGUGUAACUUGUGCUAGGGUUAAGGCACAACAUCAGAAACCGUAUGGGAGUUUAGAACCUUUACCCGUACCCAUGGGUAAAUGGGAAGACAUCACCAUGGAUUUUAUGACUAAACUGCCCAGAACAAGGAACGGUCACGACAUGAUUUGGGUGGUCGUUGAUCGCUUCACUAAGAGUGCGCAUUUCAUAGCGGCCAAAGAGAAAUGGUCUAUGGAUAAACUUGCGAAUUCUUACGUGAAGGAAAUUGUGAGGCUUCACGGUGUUCCGUUAACGAUUGUGUCCGAUCGUGAUAGCCGUUUUACCUCAAGGUUUUGGAGGAGUCUAUAAGAGGAAUUGGGUACCAAGUUGUGUUUGAAUACAGCUUACCAUCUGCAAACCGAUGGUCAGAGCGAAUGGACGAUUCAAACGUUGGAGGAUAUGCUGAGAGCAUGUACCCUAGAAUUUCAAGGUAACUGGGAUGAACACUUACCUUUAGUAGAAUUCACCUAUAAUAAUAGUUUCCACUCAAGUGUCAAGAUGGUACCUUAUCACGCUUUGCAUGGGAAAAAGUGUCGGAUGCCAUCAUGUUGGCUGGAAGCCGAGGAAAAGCAGUUUAUGGGACUUGAAAUAGUCCAUUAGAUUGCUGAAAAGUUGGAAGUGAUUAGGGAAAAAGGUGUUAGCUGCUCAAAAGAGCUAUGCUGACAAGAAAAGACAACCGAUAUCAUUCGAAGUUGGAGAUUCGGUUUCCCUUAAAGUCUCGUCGUGGAAGGGACUUAUAAGAUUUGGUAGAAGGGGAAAGUUGAGUCCAAGGUUUAUUGGACCAUUUAAAGUUCUUCAGAGAAUCCGGAAUCAAGCUUACAAGCUAGAAUUACCGGAAGAACUAGAGAGUAUUCAUAACACCUUUCAUGUGUGUUAUUUGAAAAAGUUCACGGGAGGUGUGCCCGACAUAAUUCCCAUUUCUAAAUUAAGGUUGGACGAGAACAAGAGGUUAAUUGGAGAACCUGAGGCAAUCGUUAACCGUAAGACUAAGAAGUUGUAACAUAAGAUAGUCGAUUUAGUGCCUGUACGUUGGAAACUUAUAAAUGCGCCAAAUCCCACCUGGGAAACGGAGAGUGACAUAGUGAGUCGCUACCCGUAGUUGUUUGUCGUUGUGUGAUUCCGGGGACGGAAUCAUCCUAAGGAGGAGAGAGUUGUAACGCCCGUGUUUCUAGGCUAGGCAUUAAUAUUGACAUAAUGGUCUAGGUUAACCUCUGUAACUCAUUUAGAAGAAAUGAAAAGGAAUUAUGUGAAUUUUAUGUGAAUUAUGAGUUUUAUGCUUCAUUAUUAGGGUUUAAUUAAUUAAAAAUAAAAACAAGCGUCAAAAUUAAAGUAUGAUAUAAGCCCGAUAUCUUUACAUAAAGUUGUAAUGAUCGAAAUAAGGAUUUCAGGGAUAUAAAUAAUGCCGAAAUCCGAGUUAUAACGAAGAAUUUAUGACCUGUCGAAGUUUCGCAACAAAACCGGCACGGUGUCGAGUGUCGUAAAAAGUGAGUUUUUGACAAACUACUUUUUAGACUUAGUAAACUAAACGAAAGUCGUAGUAUUCGUUAAACCGAGAAGUUCGAUAAAAAGAACGCCCAAAUCUGACUUCGUAUGAGGAAGUUAUGAUUUUUCGAAGUUUCAGCUUAGCAGUAGACAACUAAAAACUCGAAUUUUAGAUCGAGCGAUUUUUAGCCGUCACAACCUAAACGAGAAUUAAAGGUCUCGUCAUUAGGAGCACAAGGGUAAAAAGUCUGACGAAAACGGACGUCGAAUGAAGAAGUUAUGAAUUUUUAACGGAUUUCCUGUCCCGGUUUGUUAAAAAUAAUAAUAUAAAAUUUAAAGUCAAAACUAGCCGACGAAGUCUAAACGGAAGUUGUAGAUCGUAAUUUUAGCUACGCGUGCAUAUAAAGAACGUCAAAAACGGUACUUGUAUGCGAAAGUUAUGGAUUUUAGAAGUUUUGGCGCGAAAAUCGAGAAAAUUUGCAUAGUCACACUUUGCCACGUCACCCUCGCUUAGAAUGUGACACGUAUCUUGCUGAGUCACCAGGCUGCUGAGUCACCGAAACUGCUGAGUCAUGCGAAGCCACGUGUCCUCUUCUGAUUCGACCGAGGAGGAGGCCCAAUCCGAAGCAGCCAGCUCCCCAGCCGAAGCUUCGCCCAGCUGCCGCGUGUGUCCGAGCCUCGCAUAGCCUAGCUCCGAGUCUCGCAGGUGCGCCAGCAAGCCGCGGUCCACUUAGAAGCCGCCAGCGAGCCCUCGCAUGUGCGAGCCAGGUGCGAGCCAUGCGAGCCAUGUGCGAAGCCACCCCCUGCGAGCCGUCGGAUCUCCGAAGCGUGCCAUCUUCUCAGCCGUUGGAUCAAACUUCGGACCCUAUAAAUAGAAGGGUACCUGCGAGGGUUUCCGGUUACUUUUGGAAUUUUGCCACUUUUAGCCCCUUUCUCCAUAUUUUCUUCAUCUUAACAUCCCGCAAAGCCCCGGUAUCGAUUGUAAAGCCCGGAAUACCCCACGAAGUGCCCGAGAAGCCCGGAAAAUUUAUCUUUUCGGUUUCAAAGCCCGACCUUUCGCAGAGCCCGGUUUCUCAAUAAAACUCCCGGUUUUAUUAGAAACGAUCGUUUUAGGAAACGAAUUGCUGCCCGGUUUUCAUUAAAUCAAGUGAGUGUGUAGUUACUUUCACCUUACACAUAGAUAUGAAGUAUUUUACAUAAAAUACGUGUUGUGUGAAUAUAUAUUGUUUGUUUAUUUGAGAUGGGUGCUGAAGGAAUGAUUUAUACAUGUUUUUAAAUAAUUUAAACUAUAUAUGUAUUUUUAUCUACGAAAAAUGUUGGGUAAAACAUGGGUAGAUGAAAUAGUGGGUAUGAUGAAAGGUGAGUUGGAUAAAGGAGAUGAUCAAUAAUAUUGAUCAUGAGUUGAGGGUGAGUGGUGAAAAUUUGAGAGAAUCACUUACCCAAAUUGUUGGCCCCCGUCAUUCAGCAGAGUAUGGAUGACAACCAUGGACUAUUCUAGACAGUCUAUGGAACACUAGCAGGCCCGCAACCUGUAGGUGUAAUGAACUAUAUGUUCAUUUGUUGUACUCUAAAACCCAUUGACAUGUAUUGCAGGAGAGAACACCUGUAAAUAAUACUGUCGAUAAAUGAGAGCUAUGGACUUAGCACAUGUUGAAUAAACUUUGGCAGCUAUGGAAUUAGUGCCCGUUGUAUAAACCCUGGUCACGAGGUGACUUUGUGUCUAUUCCUUAGGAUGAAUCCUUAGGAAGGAGUGAUAGUUGAUUCUUAGGGUAAACCCUUAAGAAAUAAAUAAAAUAAUGGGGUUUGGGGUAAUUCGGUUGAUUGAUUGAUGUUUAAACACAAUAAAUUUAUGUAUUGUGGGUUGAAAACCCUAUAUGCUCACUAGGCUUCGAAGCCUGACCCACUCAGCUGUUUAUAUUACAGGUAGAGGACCCCGAGCAUAGUUGGAUGAUGAUGAUGAGUGAAUUUUGGAUUAUAGGCCAGUAGUUACAAAUAACUGUCAUAAGGCGUAUAAUGUCUUGUUUAUGCUUUUGAUCUGUAUCAGAACAUGACAUCCCGAGGUUUUGAUAUAAAAGGAAAUGAUAUAUUUCUUAAAGAAAGGUUUUGACAAACUUUUAUCAUAUUUUGUUUUGGGGACCAAUUCCGCAACAUCUUUUAUAAAGAUUUCUCUGAUUUGAUUUUAAAAAGCAUAAAUUAAAUCGGUCUUUUCUGGCCGAGAAAUUAGGGGAUGUCACAGUUUCCACGUUCGGUUUUCGGGGUGUGACAGAUUGGUAUCAGAGCCCUUGUUUAUAGUGAAUAAAGUAUACCAAACCUUACAUGGUAUAAAACUAUAAACAUUAAGGGGCCUAAGUGCUCUAAACUAAAAGUAUCCUUCAAAAUAAAAGUAAUUUUCAAAAGUCUAUAAGUAUACCGAACCGUUGAGAUCCGUAACUACAAGUAGAACAAAACAUAAGUAAAUGGGUGUUGUACGCUGCGGUUAAACCUGGGCAGUUAUGUAGUCGUGUCUAGGAUCAAUAUAGCCUGACCAACUAUAUUCAUUCGAGACACGGCCAACAUGUGCUUGGGAGUGACUGUGGUAUGCGACAUGCCUUAAACUUACCCUAAUACCACAAACAUCGAGCCAGUGUCGUAGCGAAUCAUGAAAUACUAUGGGAGUAUUUCUCGAGCUAAUCAUUGGUAUAAAUUCUCGUUCAUGCAUUGUUCUUUGAUCAUUCCCUUAGCGAUAAUUUUCCUGCUUUAUCGUUUGUUAGCAUAUAUCUGUCAUAUCUCUUGAUUCAUUCCAGAGGACUUAUCAUCCUCUCUUUCUUGAUCUUAUUAGAUCAAGAUGCCUCCAAGAAAGAGACCCAACUAAAGACCAACANNNNNNNNNNNNNNNNNNNNNNNNNNNNNNNNNNNNNNNNNNNNNNNNNNNNNNNNNNNNNNNNNNNNNNNNNNGCUGCCAUGUCUCAACGGAACUCUGGCGGUUCUGGUGGUUCGGGACGUGGUACCCAAGCCCAAAGCCAAGAAAGCAGUCAGGGAUACCGAAAAGAGGGUUCCUAUAAGGAUUUCAUGAACGCAAAACCCAUGUCCUUUAAUGGAACUGGAGGUGUCAUUUCCCUCACCCGAUGGUUCGAGAAGAUCGAAUCCAUCUUUGAAAUUUGCGCCUGCUCAGGAUCUGACAAGGUGAAGUUUGCCGCCUGCUCCUUUAUCGACAAAGCCCUGACCUGGUGGAACGGCCGAGUCAAAUCCCUAACCUUACCUGUAGCCAACGCCAUGGGUUGGGAAGCCAUGAAGGAACUUCUGCUGGCUGAGUACUGCCCUCGGGGCGAAAUGUAGAAGUUAGAACACGAACUCUGGAACCUGAAGAUGUAGGGUUCCGAUAUCACUGCUUACACUUCCAGGUUCGAUGACUUGGCAUUACUCUGCCUGCGAAUGGUUACCCCGGAGAGUAAGAAGAUAGAGAAAUUCAUCUGGGGGCUGACCCAACCAUCAAAAGGAAACGUCAUAGCUGCGAGGCCAGAUACAUACGACAGUGCCAAAUGCUUAGCACAAAUCUUAAUAGAUCAUAGUGAUGACCCUGAGGAGACAACUACCACUCCUGAGCCGACAGAGAGGAGUGGUGAGAAAAGAAAGAUUGGGAAGAAGGAGAAAAGUCAGACAUCGCAAGAGUCUUUGAAGAGGCAGCAAACGGUGGCAGUUCAUGCUGCCACUUCCCCUGCCACCGUUUCUGUUGUUGGAUCUUCAGCUCGAAAACCUGCCAGUAGGUAUGCUGGAACCCUUCCUAGUUGUGACAAGUGCAACUAUCAUCACCUUCCUUCCAGUCCAUGUAUAGAGGUGUUUUGCAACAGUUGUGGCAUAAAGGGUCACAUGGCGAAAAACUGUAAGACACCAACCCAAUCAACCAGUCAAGCUUCCGGAGCGAGCAUUGGUCGGGCCUGCUAUAGUUGUGGAAAAGUCGGGCAUUACAAGCGAAACUGCCCCAAGACAGUAACAUCUGGCAACACCGAAAGAGUUCUAGCGAUAGGACAAGAGGAGACAGCCACCGAUCACACCGUUGCCACAGGUAUAUUUCCCCUCGUUAAAUUUUAUGUCUGUGAUUCUUUUCGAUUCUAGCACCAAAAGAAAUUCGCUAACCAUCCAUUCAAAUAUCUUUCUAAACCUUGUCCUUCAUUAGUAAUCGAAAACGUGUACCAUCGAGAUGGUUAUCAAGUGAGAAUGAGAACGCUAACAUCAUAUCCGUAGAUUGUAUCCUCAAUCCGAACAAUUAUUCUUUUCCGUUCGAUCUAAUGGCGAACUUCUCAUGAAAUGCUUUGAUGUCAUCUUUAGCAUGUAAUGACCGAGCCUCAUUCAUGAUGUUAUUCCUGGUUUCGAGAAGGCUAUUCGUCUUAACCUACCUCUGACCCGACUCUCAUGAUCUUCGUACAUCAAAGUUUAAAAAGUUUUCCCAUGUAUUCCUUGUCCGCGUGAUCAUCGAGAAUCGAGAANUCUUUCCCCGAUGUCUUUUCCGAAGAAUUCUUGAGAAUUCUUUCCGAACGUGUAGUCAAGUCUCGCAUCGACCUAAUCCCUGGAAUUACCACGUAGCCAAAACCUCAGAGAGGACGAUGUAUCCAAGGCAGCAACCAAGGCUUGAUAUGAUCACUACGAGAUAGUAGUGUUGCCCUUCGGUCAAACCAUUUUCUUGGUUAUGUAGAUAAGCAAAGCAGUCAUACUCAUGGACCUUUCCAAAAGCUAAGGAAAUAAAGAAUUAUUCGGCACCGGAGGUACCCAUAGAAACCCGUCAACUCUUGGGUCCCGCCGACUAUUAUUGCAAACCCGUCUAGAAAUUUCCUUUAGAACCAUCGGACCCUUAGUUACUCUGCCACGUGAAAAUGUACCCACUUGUUGUAAGUCUUACUCUGGAAAGACAUAGUACGCCUUGGGAAGUAUGGAAAACUUAACACGUAGAACAUUAGACCCUUCGAGAUCCUCAUUAGAAAUCGAUUCCGUAGCCCUCUCCGAGCUAUCUUCAGAACUCAGCAGCAACCAUCUGGUAUUCCACAUCUUUGCUCGUAAGGAGUGUCGACCUGACGAAACCAUAGAAAUCCCUUGACGAGAUCGAAACCAAUGGAAGUCCGAACCUUCAUGGAUGAAUCAAUUGGAAUCAUCGAUUGAUAGGUUGACCGUACGAAACAAAGCUGCAUCCCAACAGUGAGGGUUCGCUGGAAUGUCAAGCGGAGACCCGAUUCCACUUAGGAGCAUGAAGAACCGAAGCAGUAGAUUCAUCCUCAUAUCUCUUUUCACUUCGCGAUCUGUGUUCAAAUCUUUGAAUUUCGGGACGAAAUUCCCUCUAACGGGGGGAUAAUGUAACAACCCGAAAUUUCGUAUCAUUGCUUGUACCCCCUUUUCGUAAUCCAUUUCGAUCAACCAACCGUCGUUUUCAAAUUCGUUUCCGAUUUAGCCAUUUAAUUAAGUCAUUAAAUUAAAAUUAUCUAAAAUGACUUAAUGGGCGUCCUAAUACAUUUAGAACUCAUUAUUAACACCUCGUAUUAGUAAUCAGAACAUUUAUAGAAUCAACCAUACCAAGUUACGAAAACUUAAUCGGGUGCGACCAAAAGCCCCGUCUAACGCCGGUAUCGGGUAGAAUUUCACCGUGUCCCGAACUUAGACACUAUUUAAAGUGAUCCAAGCUUCCAUUUAAAUCUUUUGCUUCAUCUCAUAACUCUCUCUCUAACCUCUCUCCUCAACCAAGUUUAAGGGUCCAAAACCUCAAAUUUAAGGCUUCUAAUCACCAAGGUAUCUUCCCUAACUUGUUAUACAACCCCUCUAGCCUUCAAAUUCGAGUUUAAACCAUGGAUUACGACCAUUAUCAUGAGUUUACGCCCAAGAAUAGUCCUAGGCCGUAAACUCAUAUAAAUGGGGUUUUUGAGCAACAAAACCCUUCCAAACCACAAUUAGACUUUAGAUAUGGCUAGAUGACUUAAUGGAAUGGACUUGGAACACACUAAACAUGAGAUUUGAGGAUUAACAUUGAGUUUACUGCCCAAGAACUUGCUUGGGCCGUAAACACUUCAUACAUGGGGAGUAAACUCAUUUUCUAGUGUUAAAAAGCCAUGUAAACCCACCAAUAGCCUUUGAAUAAAUCCUAGAACCAACCAAAAUUAGUUUGGGGACCUUAAACAUGAUUAAAUCCUCCCAUUUAGGAGUUUACGUCCAUAGCUUCCCAAGAAAUAGUUCCAGGGCCGUAAACUCAUAAUAUCAUGUUAAAUGGCGCCCUAAAUUCAUACCAAGGCUUGCAAAAAUUGUUGGAAUCACAUGUGAUUAAUUUAAGGCCAUUAAAUCAUCAAUCUAAGGGGGUAUAGGAGUUUACGGCCGUAAAAUCCAUGUUUAGGGCCGUAAACUCCCUUAAAUGGUGUUAUUGGUGAUUUAAUUCCAUCCCAAGCCUUAGAUAAAUUCAUCCCAAUCACCCCUCAAGUGUUAUUGACCAUUAAGCACCAUAAACCUUGCCAACAUGAGUUCACGGCCGUGAAAUCAUGUGUGAGUAGUGUAUAAGGCUGAAAUCUCCCUAAGGAGUUUAAUCUUGAAGAGUAAACUCAAUUCCCAAGUCCCACGCAUCAAUACACGUUCGUAUAUGUCACCCGGGUCACUCCAAACAUUCGUUUUGAAGUGUUUUCGCUCAUUGGAGUGUAAUAUCAUAUCUAAUUAGUAAUUUAAAAUCUAAUUAUAUAUAUUUGUAUACCAUUUCAUAUUUCAUAGGAACCCUGCGUGUUAUCAAGCCUCGAAUCGACACUUAGCGUCCGAACCGACACGUUUUCUCGUUUGGUGAGUUCAUACCCCUACCCUUUUCAAUGGUUUUUAAAUGUUUUCAUGGGGGGGGGAUACCAGCAAAAGUACAAGAAUAUCUUGUACUUAAAUUCAUUAUUUUACUUAAAUGGUUUCAUAAUUCGCACACUUUUAAGAAUUGAAAACCUACUAACAAACUGUUUUAACUUGCAGAGUUGUUUGUUUAAACGAUUUCAAUUCUUAUUAUAUAUUGUUAUGUUUCACAAUUGAUUGUUCACACUUAUAUUGAUAGAGAUCAUAAAACCUUUGUAAUUUCUUUAAUAAAACACCUUAGCCUCGAGUGUAAAGGACAGACACCAUAGAAAACAUAAAACAUUUGUAUGGUCCUUAAUAAAACACCUAGGCUCGAGUGUAAAGGACAGACACCAUUAGAAAACAUAAACAUUUGUAAUGUCCUUAACAAAACACCUAGGCUCGAGUGUAAGGGACAGGCACCAUUAGAACUUAGUCAGCCAUAGAUACUACUCCCCCUAGGCACGAGAGUAAAGAGUAAGCUUAAAGAUUGGAGACACGUCCUCGGUGAACACUCCAUAGAGAUACGCGAGUGGAGGAUCGCACCUGUAACCAGAAUCUCUUAGAUAGGGAGCGUGACUUGAGUGUAUAGAUCUAUACGGGACCGACAAUCCCACACCUGGAUGCUAGCUACAGCCAAACCGAAAGGUUCAAGGGUGACGAAAGUCAUAAAAAGGAUACUGGCCCCGACCCGAGUCAUAUCUGGUCUGAAGUAUGGUUACGGAACUCGCAAUCAAGAUUAUGAACACUUCACACUUAAAUAUUAGUUUUAUGUACGUAAUAUAACUAAUGUACAUUUAAGGAUAAUCAAACUUUCAGGAGAAUUCACACACACACAUUCAGGAAAAUAUGGUAUUUUCCUGGGGAUAAUACUGAACAUAAUCAGAAUUGGUAACAGUUCACACACACAUGUAGGAAAAUAUAGGAUUUUUCCUGGGUAACAGUAAUACGUAACCAGAAANAAUCGGUAGCAGUUCACACACAGGCACAUGUAGGAAAAUAUAGGAUUUUCCUGGGUAACAGUAGUACGUAACCAGAAAAGUGUAAUAAGUUAGAUAACUAAACUUAACGAUUCACAAGAACAAUCAUGUUUUCAUUGUACAUCGUUUACAUUACAUUAUGGAUGGUAACCAUCUUUUAAGAAAAUAUGGGAUUUUCUUGGAUAACCAGCUUUAUGCUGAUCUUCAAACCGCUUGUAUUCUCAGGUUCGCAUUAGACAGGUACCCGACUAUUUCUUUUGGAGAAGACGAAGUGCGUAGAAGACUCGUCUCAUUUUAUUCAUAUAUAC